AGAGUUUGAUCAUGGCUCAGAUUGAACGCUGGCGGCAGGCCUAACACAUGCAAGUCGAGCGGUAACAGGAAGGAAGCUUGCUUUCUUUGCUGACGAGCGGCGGACGGGUGAGUAAUGCCUGGGAAUAUGCCUUAGUGUGGGGGAUAACUAUUGGAAACGAUAGCUAAUACCGCAUAAUGUCUUCGGACCAAAGAGGGGGACCUUCGGGCCUCUCGCGCUAAGAUUAGCCCAGGUGGGAUUAGCUAGUUGGUGAGGUAAAGGCUCACCAAGGCAACGAUCCCUAGCUGGUCUGAGAGGAUGAUCAGCCACACUGGAACUGAGACACGGUCCAGACUCCUACGGGAGGCAGCAGUGGGGAAUAUUGCACAAUGGGGGAAACCCUGAUGCAGCCAUGCCGCGUGUAUGAAGAAGGCCUUCGGGUUGUAAAGUACUUUCAGUCGUGAGGAAGGGUGUGUAGUUAAUAGCUGCAUACCUUGACGUUAGCGACAGAAGAAGCACCGGCUAACUCCGUGCCAGCAGCCGCGGUAAUACGGAGGGUGCGAGCGUUAAUCGGAAUUACUGGGCGUAAAGCGCAUGCAGGCGGUCUGUUAAGCAAGAUGUGAAAGCCCGGGGCUCAACCUCGGAACCGCAUUUUGAACUGGCAGACUAGAGUCUUGUAGAGGGGGGUAGAAUUUCAGUGUAGCGGUGAAAUGCGUAGAGAUCUGA
rnacentral:rRNA from 1 species